rnacentral:rRNA from 1 species
AUUGAACGCUGGCGGAAUGCUUUAUACAUGCAAGUCGAACGGCAGCACGGACUCCGGUCUGGUGGCGAGUGGCGAACGGGUGAGUAAUGUAUCGGAACGUGCCCAGUCGUGGGGGAUAACGUAGUGAAAAUUACGCUAAUACCGCAUACGAUCUAUGGAUGAAAGCGGGGGAUCGCAAGACCUCGCGCGAUUGGAGCGGCCGAUAUCAGAUUAGGUAGUUGGUGGGGUAAAGGCCCACCAAGCCAACGAUCGGUAGCUGGUCUGAGAGGACGACCAGCCACACUGGAGCUGAGACACGGUCCAGACUCCUACGGGAGGCAGCAGUGGGGAAUUUUGGACAAUGGGCGAAAGCCUGAUCCAGCCAUUCCGCGUGCAGGAUGAAGGCCCUCGGGUUGUAAACUGCUUUUGUACAGAACGAAAAGGUUUCUACUAAUACUAGGAGCUCAUGACGGUACUGUAAGAAUAAGCACCGGCUAACUACGUGCCAGCAGCCGCUGUAA